rnacentral:misc_RNA from 1 species
AUCAUCGAUAGAUUGUCGGAGUGCAUGCAUGUGAAUCCAAAGCUCGCCACGGAAAGUCUGCUGGGCCUCGUGGCAAAAGCGUUUGGCGGAGGCCAAAAUCCGGUCUGCGGACUUGCCCAAUUGAAGAGCUUGGGAUUCUUGUUGUGCGGGUCCAUGAAGUACGGAUGUCGGCCUCAAACUGCCUGACGGAAGCGCCAACACCUUGCUGAAUCUGCCUUCUGAUAACCCAGCGAAC